rnacentral:rRNA from 1 species
GACGAACGCUGGCGGCGUGCUUAACACAUGCAAGUCGAACGAUGAAGCCGGAGCUUGCUCCGGUGGAUUAGUGGCGAACGGGUGAGUAACACGUGAGCAAUCUGCCCUUGACUCUGGGAUAACUGCGGGAAACUGUAGCUAAUACCGGAUACGACACCUUGGGGCAUCCCAGGGUGUGGAAAGAAUUUCGGUCAAGGAUGAGCUCGCGGCCUAUCAGCUAGUUGGUGAGGUAAUGGCCCACCAAGGCGACGAUCAGUAGCUGGUCUGAGAGGACGAUCAGCCACACUGGGACUGAGACACGGCCCAGACUCCUACGGGAGGCAGCAGUGGGGAAUUUUGGACAAUGGGGGCAACCCUGAUCCAGCAAUGCCGCGUGAGUGAAGAAGGCCUUCGGGUUGUAAAGCUCUUUUGUCAGGGAAGAAACACCGGCUCUAACACAGUCCGGGAAUGACGGUACCUGAAGAAUAAGCACCGGCUAAC